UGCCAGCCGCCGCGGUAAUACGGAGGGUGCAAGCGUUGUUCGGAAUUAUUGGGCGUAAAGCGUGUGUAGGCGGUUCGUUAAGUCUGAUGUGAAAGCCCGGGGCUCAACCCCGGAAGUGCAUUGGAAACUGGCGAACUUGAGUACGGGAGAGGAAAGUGGAAUUCCGAGUGUAGGGGUGAAAUCCGUAGAUAUUCGGAGGAACACCAGUGGCGAAGGCGGCUUACUGGACCAAUACUGACACUGAGGAUCGAAAGCGUGGGUAGCAAACAGGAUUAGAUA
rnacentral:rRNA from 1 species